AUGACCCCAAGUCAGGUGGGAUUACCCUACUAAGUUUAAGCAUAUCAAUAAACAAAGGAAAAAAAACUCACCAGGAUUCCCCUAGUAAUAGCAAGUGAACCGAAAAAGAGUCCAGCUUGAGAAUCAAGUUCCCUUGACAUCUAAAUUAUAGUUUAGAGAAGCAUCUUUAGUAGCAGACCAAGCCCAAAUCCCUUAAAAAAAGGGCACCAAAGAGGGUGAGGGCCUCAUUGUGCCUGGAUCCUAUCACCUAACGGGGCAUUGGUUACAAGUCAAGUUGUUUGGGAAUGUAGCCCCAAUCCAGUGGUAAAUUCCAUCAAAGGCUAAAUACAAGCAAAAGACUUAUAGCAAACAAGUACUAUAAGGGAAAGAUGAAAAGAACUUUGAAAAUAAAGUCAAAGACUACUUAAAAUUGUUGGGAAAAAGUGGAUAGGGACUAAUGAUACACCUCAGUUGGAUGUGGAAUGGCAAGAGUUGGUCCACCAAUUAGCUUGGGGCAUAGACCAACGUAGGUCAUGGCAACGGCCUAAGCUUGGGCUUUCAAUAUGUAUGCAAAAAAAUCAUCGCCGCGAUCAUGGAAUGCAACAUGCACCACUCAACAUGCCUCAAUAUUGGCAUGCUCCUAGCAUCAGCCUGUGGGCUCCCCAUCCAGCCCAUCUUUGAAAACAUGGACUAAAGAGUCUAACAGAUGUAUAAGUCAAUGGGCUAAAAAACUUGUAAGGCAUAAGAAAGCUGAUUGGCAGGAUACCUCACCGGUGCACUACCAACCAACUUUAAUCUUCUAAAAAAGUUUGAGUGUGAGCAUGCUUAUUGAGACUCGAAGGAUGGUGAACUAUGCUUGAGUGAGGCAAAGCGAAAGGAAACUCUAGUGGAGGCUUGUAGCGAUACUAACAUGCAAAUCAUUCAUCUGACUUGGGUAUAGGGGUGAAAGACUAAUCAACCAUAUAGUAGUUGGUUCCCUUUAAAGUAUCUUCAGGAUAGCUGGAGCUCUUGUUAGUUGUAUUAGGUAAAGCCAAUAAUUAAAGGCAUCGGGGGCACAAUGCCUUCAACCUAUUCUCAAACUUUAAAUAGGUAGGAUGCCAUGGCUGCUUCAUUAAGCCACUCCACAAAUUUGACAGCUCUAAACAAUUUUUGUAAACAAAACUGGCAAUGCUAGAUGAACUCGAAUUCAGGUUAUGGUGCCUAACUGCAUGCUAACCUAGAACCCAUAAAAGGUGUUGGUUGAUUAAGACAAAAGGGAUGGUGGUCAUGGAAGUUAAAAUUCACUAAAGAGUGUGUAACAACUCACUUACCAAAUCAACUAGCUCCAAAAAUGGAUGGUGCUUAAGUGUGCGACCUUUACCUGGCCAUUAAAGCAAGGGCCAGGCCUCAAUGAGUAGGAAGGCAUGACAGUCCCUACAAAACCAAAGGCGCAAACUCAGGUGGAGUGACCAUUGUUGCAAAUCUUGGUGGUAGUAGUAAAUAUUUAAAUGAAAACUUUAAAGGCUGAAGAAGGGAAAGUUGGUAUCAUGUCCAGCACAAGCUUUAAAAGGGAAUUAAGUUAAAAAUCUUGAAUUAAGAUGUAGAAGCUAAUGGUAAUGUUAAGGAGUCUGAAAGCAUUGCAAGUGCCUUGAGAAGAGUUAUUUUUUCUAUUUAAUGACCUUCCCACCUUGGAAAUAGCUCAGCCAGAGAUAAGGUCUAGUAGUCAAAAAAACAUCACACAUCACAUAGUGUUUAGUAUGCCCCUAGUGGCUAUUGAAAAUUUGAAGGACUAGGUGCCAUUUAUGCCCAAUCAUACUCAUAACCAUAUAAAUUCUCUAAGGCGAACAGCCUUUGCUCAAUGGAACACUGUAGGUAAGGGAAGUUGAAAAAAUGGAUCCAUAACCUUAGGAAAAGGAUUGGCUCUAAGAGUUGGGCAUGGGGGUCCUAGUCUCGAACCAAUUGGUUGCCAGUACACUACUUGAGUUGCUCCCAUAACAAGAGAGGGUCACCACAUGUUGGCUGGGGGAGAAACUAGGAACAGCUCCUUUAGGUGUUUUCCCUAAGUGAUGAACAAUCGACUCAAAACUAGUAUAGACAAAGGGGAUCUGACUAUUUGAUUAAAACAAAGGAUUGCUCACACAAUGUGAUUUCUAACCAGUGCUUUAAAUUUCAAAGUGAAAAAUUCAACCAAGUGCGGGUAAACGAUAGGAGUAACCAUGACUCUCUUAAGGUAGCCAAAUGCCUCGUCAUCUAAUUAGUGAUGCACAUGAAUAGAUUAACAUGAUUCCUACUAUCUCGGUCUACUAUCCAAUGAAACCACAACUAAAGGAAUGAGUUUGGCAGAAUCAAUGGGGAAAUAAGACCUUGUUGAGCUUGACUCUAGUCCAAUUUUGUGAAAUGACUUAAGAGAUGUUGGAUAAAUGAGAGCCCUUAAGGGAAAUUGAAAUACCAUUACUUUUAAAGUUAUUUUACUUAUUUCGUGAAUCGAAAGUGGGCACAACCCUUUUUUUAGACCUAAGGCCAGCCACAGUUGGUUGAUUUAGGAAGAAGACAUUGUCAAGUGGGGAGUUUGGAUGGGGUGGCACAUCUAUUAAAAGAUAACGUAGGUGUCCUAAGAAGAGCUCAACGAGAACAUAAAAUCUCAAGUGGAAAAAAAAGGCAAAAGCCUAUUUGAUUCUGAUUUCUAGUACAAAUAUGAAUCAUGAAAGCAUGACUUAUUGAUCAUUUAAACCUUUGAAAUUUGAAGCUAGAGGUGUCAAAAAAGUUACCACAAGGAUAACUGGCAUGUGGCAACCAAGCAUUCAUAGGGAUGUUGCUUUUUGAUCCUUUAUUGUCGAUUCUUCCUAUCAUUAUGAAGCAAAAUUCACUAAGUGUUGGAUUAUUCACUGGCCAAUAGGGAAUAUAAGUCAGGUUUAGACCGUUGUGUGAUAGGUUAGUUUUACCCUACUGAUGGCAAUGUUGCUAUAGUAAUUCAACCAAGUACGAGAGGAAUUAUUGAUUCGCACAAUUGGUCAUUGCACUUGGUUGAAAAGCUAGUGGCGCGAAGCUACCGUGCACUAGAUUAUGGCUAAAUGCCUCUAAGUUAAAAUUUAGGCAGAAAUAAUGCAUGCACCUAUCACUCAAUUUUCAACCACAAUAGGGGCCCAUAGACCCUAAAGGCAUGUGUAUAGGUGUAGCCUUCGUAGUGGACAAGCUGUGUAAGCCUUUUUGGAGCUCAAUUCCCACUAAGCAAUAGGUAAAAUCCUUUACAA
rnacentral:rRNA from 1 species